rnacentral:misc_RNA from 1 species
ACACCUCAACUCCUCAUGGCUUGCCAUGAUGAGCUUGGACUUGGGGGGUCUUGCUGGCCUGCAGUCAGCUCCUCUCAAAUGAAUCAGCUUGCCAGUGUUUGGUGGCGCCACGGGUGUGAUAAACAUCUACUCUUGUGGCCCUCCGCCAUGCAACCUUCAGUGAUUGGAGGUUCACUGGAGCUCACAAAUGUCUUUCCUCAGUGAAGACAGCUCUUUGAUC